GUAUGCAGGAAAAUUUAAACGUAUUUAUAAAGUAAAAUUAGGUAAGCAUAGGAAACCUCGUAUAUUUCUUCAUUUUUCAUUUUACAUACCUGUAGCUUGUGAAAUUUCAUCGAAGCAUUUCUUCCACUCCAGUCAAUGGCAUUGAAUGCGAGUGGCAUAUUGUUCAUUAUAUGAAGUUAAUACAGGUCUACCUACCUUGAGAGUAUAAUAAUUUUUUCAUCGUGAAAAUCAGGAUGGAAGAGUACAGCUCAAUAAAUUCAUGAUUCGAAAUUCGAAUGGAUCGAGGUUUUGUGAAGUGUAAAUUUUUGAAAACCAAGUAGGUAUUUCUGCUUUAAACAUUGUGUUCUUUUCGUUUUUGAAAUUGAAUUUUAUGAAUUUAUCGAAAGGCCCGGGACGAAAAUUUUUUUUGAAAAUGGAUGCUGGCAUUGUUCCAAGAUUUUGACCUUCUCCUCUCGUCUUGCUUAAAAUUAUUGUUUUAUCACUGUUGAAAGCUAUUUUUGUCAUUUAAAAAAUGGUAUUUUAUCAUACUAGUAAAAUGACAUAUUUUAUGCAAACGUGGGAAGAAAACGCGCAUUUGAUCACUCGAGCGACCAGCGAGAGUGAAAAAAGUAGUGUUUUAUUCUACUAGUAGGAUAAAUAAGUAUAUUUGUUGAAAAAGUUCAGAUUUUUGAUAUUUCAACCAAGUGUCGUCAAAUACCUAGGUAAAUAAAAAUUGAUUGUAAACAUAUUUUUUCAAAUAAAAAAAUUUUAUUCAA